GAAGCAUAUCAUACUCAAAUGGCAACUCAGUAGUUUAAAAAGGCUUGACAUGAACUUUCAACAAACAUAUAAAACUCCAUACAUUAAUCACUUUGUAAGACAAUAAAAUGCAGUACGGUUAAACUUGAAAACUUUAUUAUCCGAACCACACUCAUUUCAAAAAUCUGCGAUGUUUUCUCAGGCUUUUUUUUUUUUACUUACCACUCUAGUAAUCCAAUAAAGAAAUUAGUCUGACCCCUUUAUCAAAUUUUUAAAGCAUGGUAUUAAAAAUUAGCACUUAGUUCCUAUUUCCAGGGAAUUCGGAGGUGGAGAUUUGCAUGAUCUUAUUAUUCCUCAUAACAUUACAGCAAUUUAACAACUAGCAAGCAAAAAAAAAAAACCAGAUCAUUUUGUAAUCUAUAGUGGUGUUUCAUUUUGUCACACUAUUCAUUGACCACACAUUUUUUCCCCCCGAAUAGACUAUGUACCUGUUUGCCUUACAAUACUCUCCAAGGGUAAAUAUACCUUUCCACAUAAUAAAUAUGCAUUUGGUGUUAUGUUUGGAUAUCUUCUUGAAGGCUGUGAACCAAACUGUUUAAAUAGCAGACGAAAACUGCAGUACUUCCCAUGUAUGAAAACAAUUAUUUUGGGAAGCAGAUACCGCCAGUUCACUCAUCUGACUUGGAGGGCAGGCCUUUAUCAAAUAAAGUAACUGAAGAACGGGAUAUUAGAAAGUUUCAAAAAUUAUCAUUAACCUGGAAUGACUCAAGACUGAUCUGUGGGCGAGAAAAAGAAUGGAGCGUAAAAGAAGUCCAACUUUAAAAGAGGUGAAGCGGAACACUACUACCGGGAUUGAAAAAGUGUUUCUUUGGGCAGAUCUAUUAUAAAGGGGGCUGGGGGGCAGGGUAACGGAGGCCCGCAGUUACAGUUACGAAAGAAACCGUCAACUAAAUUGCAGUUACGUUAACCUGAGACAGUUGCCAACGUCUCUCGUUGCAUUUUUUUUUUUUUUAAAUGUAGCGAUUCGGCGGCGCACCCUCCAGUACCCCGCCCUCCAGAGACCUGGAAGUUUUUUUCCUGAGUAAGGCAUAUAGGCUAUACUACGAAUGAUUCCGGAAGGGUCACAGGGGGUGGACAACUCGGUCUGUUUCCCUCAGCCUUCUCAGGUGCCUGGUUUCCCCUCCACCCCUGCCCCCGAGGCAGCCUUUGUCUCAGGGCAACUAAGCCUAGGGAGCGGCGGGAGACCACAGUUGCCCAACAGUUG
ensembl:lncRNA